rnacentral:lncRNA from 1 species
CCAGGAAAAGAGGAGGGGGCGCCAACUAUUGAUGUCCACAAGGAGUCCUCAAGCCACAAGGAGAUGGGGCAUGCACCCCUCUCCUUCUCUCCCUAGUCCAUGCCCAAAUCAGAUUUGAGAGAGGCAUAGACCCUCUAAUUCAACCACAUAAGGUGCACCCAAUUUAAUCAAAUCAAAUAGUGCAACAAAAGCUUGAUCCAAAGC